UAUGUUUGUUUAUUAAUAUACGAAAAGACUUUAAAUAUUAUUUCUAUAGUUUUAUUUUUUUUAUUUUAAUAUUUUAUGAUUUAUAGUGUAUCAAUUUAAUAUUCCGUGAUUUUAUUUUUUCUGUUUUAUUAAUCCAUUCACUAAUUUUUUCGUUAAAGUAAUAAUAAAAUUAAAACUAAAAGAUAUUAAAGUGAAUAUUCGAUAAACCUAAGUAGGGUAUCUGAAGUUUUUUGUGCAUAAUUUAACGAAAUGUUAACAGAGGAGCCGACAAAAAAAAAAAAAAUCACAGGAUACUAAAUUGAUACAUUUUAAACCACAUGGUAUUAAAGUGAGAAAGUGCGAAACCACAUGGAUAGUAUUUGAAGUUUACCCUUAAUAUAUAUAACAUUUCCAUUCAAAUUUUAUUAGUAUAUU
rnacentral:lncRNA from 1 species